rnacentral:rRNA from 1 species
AAUAAUACAAUUUAAUUUUUUUUAGUAUAAAUUAAAAUUAAUAAUAAAGAUUUAAUUAUAUUAUAAUAUAUUAAGUGAAAUUUUAUUUUAUUAAAUAAUUAAAUAAUUAAUAUUUAGAAAUUUAUAGUAUAAACUAGGAUUAGAUACCCUAUUAUUUUAAGUGUAAAAUUUAAUUAUUAAAUUAGUAUUAGGUAUGUUCUUUAAAAUUAAAAAAUUUGGCGGUAUUUUAGUCUAUUCAAAGGAACCUGUUUAGUAAUUGAUAAUCCACGAUUUAAUUAAUUUUCAUUAAAGUUUAUAUAUCGUCGUAAUUGGAAUAUUUUUUAAAAAUUUAAAUAUUCAAGGAAUAUUAUUAUAUAAAAAGUCAGAUCAAGGUAUAGCUUAUAUGUGAAUAAUAAUGGGUUACAUUAAUUAUAUUUUAGGAUUUAAAAUUGUAAAUUUUAAUGAAUUUGGAUUUGAUAGUAAUUUUAUUUAAUUAAGUAAAAUGAUUUUAGCUCUAGAAUAUGUACAUAUCGCCCGUCGCUUUCAUAAUAAUUUGAAAUAAGUCGUAACAAAGUAGAUUUACUGGAAAGUGAGUCUAGAAAACAAAUUAAAGCUUAAUAAAAGUAUUUUAUUUACAUUAAAAAGAAAAUUGUGAAAUUCAAUUUAGUUUGAAAUUUUAAUUAAUUAUUAAAGGUAAAAAUUUAAGUAUAUUUUAGUUAAGUUAUAAUUUUUAGUUUAAAAAAAUUAUGUUAAUAAUAGAUUAAGAGUAUUGUGAAAGAAUUUAUAUAAAAUUAAUAAAGAAGAAUUUAUU